GGGCACGACACCGGAGAGGGAGCCUGAGAAACGGCUACCACAUCCAAGGAUGGCAGCAGGCGCGCAAAUUACCCAAUCCCGACACGGGGAGGUAGUGACAAUAAAUAACAAUACGGGGUCCUUUGGGUCUCGUAAUUGGAAUGAGUACAAUUUAAAUCUCUUAACGAGGAACAAUUGGAGGGCAAGUCUGGUGCCAGCAGCCGCGGUAAUUCCAGCUCCAAUAGCGUAUAUUAAAGUUGUUGCAGUUAAAAAGCUCGUAGUUGAAUUUCGGGAUCAGUAGGUUGGUCGUGCCACUGGUAUGUACUGGUCUUACUGAUUCCUCCUUCUUGUGGAACUGUAAUGUCAUUAAUUUGGUGUUGCAGGAAAACAGGACUGUUACUUUGAAAAAAUUAGAGUGUUUAAAGCAAGCUAACGCUUGAAUACAUUAGCAUGGAAUAAUGAAAUAGGACGUUUGAUCCUAUUUUGUUGGUUUCUAGGAUUGACGUAAUGAUUAAUAGGGAUAGUUGGGGGCAUUAGUAUUCAAUUGUCAGAGGUGAAAUUCUUGGAUUUAUUGAAGACUAACUACUGCGAAAGCAUUUGCCAAGGAUGUUUUCAUUAAUCAAGAACGAAAGUUAGGGGAUCGAAGACGAUCAGAUACCGUCGUAGUCUUAACC
rnacentral:rRNA from 1 species